rnacentral:ncRNA from 1 species
GACGUUGCGUAGAUAAGAUAAGUACAUGCAUGCAUCAUUUAGAUAGAGAACUCUGGUCGGUGAAAAAGAGGAAUGAUAAAACAUGGAAAAUGGUCUUGGAGCUUUUGGUUGUGAGUUGACAAACGAGCAGUCAACGGAGAUGUCCGUUAUCCCAUCGAUUCAUGUCAUAUGAAUAUUCGAGUGAUUCUUUGAUAAAUCAAAGAAUAAUGAAGGUGGUACCGCGAUUAUUUCGUCCUUCCA